GUGAUACAAUAACCACACACAAGUGGAUUCAUUAAUUCAGGGUAAUUAAAAUAAAACCGUAAACCAACUGAAGUGAUGACGUAACUAAUUCCAGGUGCGUGUGUUUAUUUAAAUGACAACUUUCUGACCAAUGGCUGCCGAGAUUCAGAACCAACAAACCACUUUAAAAAAGGCAGAAAACUCGGCUUGUUUUAACAGAAACUUUAACAUUUUCUCUGCCAGACCAGGAAUAAACGGCGUUAAAAGCCGCUCCCCCGUUUCCAGAAUCUUCCGUCCCUCUCCGGUUAAAGCUUUUUGGCGAUGCGCUCAACCUCCUGCGUUUUGGCCAUUUCUGCGGACUCUUCCUCGUCAGUUCAGCUGCUCUGCUGCGGUGAAAAGCUCCAUGUAAGAAGGGAAAAAUCCCUCCCUCUCUCUUUUUCUGUCCUUCUUUCCACGCAGCCUGUCGGGUUUCUGUCCCAGCUGCUGCCUCCCUCUCUCUCUCUCUCUCUCUCUCUCUCUCGUUUGUUGUGAUGUGACACCGAGGGACGAUGGGAAAUGGAGUUUGUACAGGUAGACCAAAACGUAGCUUCUCCAGUUUUCUAAAGAUAACUACCAGCACAAUAAAAUAAAUAAAAUGGUAUUUCCACAAAAA